rnacentral:lncRNA from 1 species
UCAGCGGAGGAAAGGAAAUGAGUCAUCACUCCCUGGGACCGUGGGGCGGCCGGGAGCGAGUGUGGAGACGCGGCCACAGGAACCCAGGACAAUGGCGGGAAGUAAGAGGAAUGUGGGCCUGACUGCAGCCGCGCGCCCCUGACCCCGGACCCCACGGCGGGGAGGAGGCUGGGGCGCAGGGCGGGCCCCGAGGGGUCGGAAGGCGGCCAGAACUCAGGCGGGGUCGUGUGGGGACGGGGUGGCUGGAAGAGGAUGGGGACGCAGCCAAGCCCAGGGUGCCCGGCCUGAAGAACAACCCGGGCCGUCUUUCUCACCAAGGAUGUUUCCAAAACCUUAGCCGACCCCUUGGCGGUUCCUCCACUUCCCUUAAACUCUACUGAACCUCAGAAUAAUCCCGGGGGCAGGUUAAAACCCGGAUCCCCCGGCCCCACCCCGGAGAUUCUGAUUCAGCAGGACAAAACUGGGCCUCCAUGAAUUUGCAUUUUUUAAAUUAUCCUUUUUUAUUGAGAUGGGGUCUCACUGUGUUGCCCAGGCUGGUCUCAAACUCCUAGACUCAAGCAAUCCUCCCGCCUCAGCUCGGCAACGUGCUGGGAUUACAGGCAUCAGCCAGGAUCCCAGCCGGAAUUUGCAUUUUUAACAAACUCCUAGUAGGGGGUGCUGGGCCAGGGUCCUCAGACCACUCUUUUGAGUAGUGCCACCUUAGAACGAAGUCCUGCUACUUGGCGGACCUAGAACCGUCCUCUGUCAUGUGGUUCCUCCAGUCUCACCUGUCCCCACCUCCUACCCCUCACCAGUGUACUAGCAAGACCCAACUACCUGCAUGUUGCGGUUCUCUCCUCUGUGUGUUUGCACAGACUAUUUCCUUCGAUUGAAAGGCCUUCUCUUCACUACGCUGCUGCUCAAACUGUCUGACUUCUACCUGCCCUUUAAAAUCUUCUCCAUGGGUGUGUCAAAGAGUAUAAUCAACAGAGUGAAAAAAGCAACCUAUAGAAUGGGAGAAAAUAUUUUCAAAUCAUAGCUCUGAUAAGGAAUCAAUAUCCACAGUGUAUAAAGAACUACAGCUAGACCAUAGAAAAUCAAUCCUGAUUCAAAAAUGGGCAAAGGACUUGAAUAGGCAUUUCUCCAAAGAAAAUAAACAAGCGGCCAAUAAGCACUUGGGAAGAUGUUCAACAUCACUAAUCUUUAGGGAAACGCAAAUCAAAACCAUAGUGAGGCCCCCACCAUCCUGACUCUCCUUCCUUCCAGAGGAUGUUGCCUUCUGGAUCCACCUCAACCCUACUCAGGGAGCCGCUCAGCUUCCUCAAGGGCCUGGAGUAGAUGGCUUCCAUCUUCUCUUUUGCCACCUGUGGAGGUUUUUAAGAGCAAACAGAAAUUCAAGUGAAUUGUCCUCCUACAGUUACUGACGAAACUAUUACAGCUACUUCUGAUUAUCCAUUCAGGUUAAAUCAGGCAUCAUUUCAGUCACCUCCAGGUAUUAAUGUGUAUGAUAUAAAUUGGAAAGUCAAGUCCUCCUAGGAGAUGACUGUGCUUCUGCACAAUUCCAUUACAUUUGCAGUCUCUGUCUUCCUGUACUGCAUUGCUGUCGUGCUUUAUGUUGGUUACAGGAACCUAUAUCAGGGUAGUCAUAAACUUCCCAUGAUUGGCUUUGUCAUUACUCUUGUUGCCAUCUUUUGCGAUUGGUGAGCACUUCAAAAGCUCGCUUGGGCAAAAGCUCUUGCAGAUAUUAAAAUAACUACUGGUCAAAAUAUUGUUCAGGAACUUCUGCUUGUAAGAAAUCAUAAUAAUGUGUUAUUUUGGCUCUGUGACCAGCAUGGGAUUCCUAAAUGUAUCUGUGAUCUUUGUCUUUCUGAAUAUGAUACUUUGGAGGGGAAAUGCUUGGCGUGUGUACAAGUAUGAGGAGACCAACUUACACAACCCAUCAAAUACUUAUGCUCCUCAUAGCCAAGGAGGUAUUCCACCUCCUGCUGGAAUGUAAUUAAAGGGAGAAACACACUGUAUGAAAUAUAUGUCUAUAUCAUGACUUGUUGCCAACAUCUUGAGGCACAUUAUUUGUUUCCAAUAAAAGUAAUGUUUUUUUUUUUAAGCCACACAAUGAGAUAUCACCUCACACCCAUCAGAAUGGCUACUGUAAAACAAAAACAGAAAAUAACAAGUGUGGACAAGAAUGUGAAGAAAGUGAAGCCCUUGUGCAGUUGGAGGGAAUGUAAAAUGUUCCAGCCACUGUGGAAAACAGUGUCUUCAUCUGUUUCCUAUUGCUAUAACUGAACACCAGAGACUGGGUAAAUUAUAAAGAAAAGAAUUUAUUUCUUACAAUUCUAGAGGCUGGGAAGUCCUAGGUCAAGGGACUGCAUCUGCUUGGCCUCUGGGGAGGGCCUCAUGUCAUAACAUGUCAGAAGGCAUCACGUGGGAAAGGGGUGCACUGAGAGCCAAACUGCCUUUAAUAACAAACCCAGGCUGGGCACAGCGGCUCAUGCCUGUAAUCCCAGCACUUUGGGGGAGCAGGGGGUCAAGGCUUGCAGAUCACUUGAGGCCAGGAGUUCAAGACCAGCCUGGCCAACAUGGUGAAACCUUGUCUCUACUAAAAAUACAAAAAUUAGCCAGGGAUGGUGGCAGGUGCCUGUAAUCUCAGCUACUUGGGAGGCUGAGGAAGGAGGAUGGCUUGAACCCUGGAGGCAGAGACUGCAGUGAGCCGAGAUUGUGCCACUGCAUUCCAGCCUGGGUGACAGAGUGAGAUUCUGUCUCAAAAAAUAUAAUAUAAUAUAAUAUAAUAUGGCACAAAGAAUACUAAAUAGACCUCUGUACUUGCCCACACAGGUUUAACAAAUGUCAACAUUUUGCCACAUUUGCUUUCUAUUUCUUUUUUCGAAAAAACAAAACAAAAAAACCCCCAAAACUGAUAAAUCUAAAGCCCUCCCAUUUUCCCUUGUAUAGAUAACCAGUGUCUCAAGUUAGUGUAGAUCCUUCUUGACCAUGUAUAUAUACACAUACAUACAUACACAUUUACUACAGAGGUAUAUAUCAAUGUAUACAAUACCAUAUCGAUAAUAUGUAUAUUUCAUACGUAUAUAAAAUAUGGGGGCCCAGGAAGCGAUCCUCUUGCCUCAGCCUCCAAAUUAGCUGAGAUUACAGGUCUAAGCCACCACGCCUGGCUAAUUUUUAUAUUUUUAGUAGAGAUGGAGUUUCACCAUGUUGGCCAGGCUAGUCUCGAAUUCCUGGUCUCAAGUGAUCCACGCACCUCAGCUUCCUAAAGUGUUGGGAUUACAUACACAAAUAUAACACAUACAUUAACAAUAUAUGUACAUAUAUACUAUCAUACUGUGUAAAUCUCUUUGAAAUUUGCUUUUUCACUCAUUUUUGAGAUUUACCCGUGUUAUUACAUUGUAGAUCUGAUUCGUUAAUUUUAAAUGCUCCAUAGUUUCCCAUUGUUUGAAUAAACCUGUUUAUUUAUUUGUUCCUUUCCUAAUGGACUGUUGGUUGUUCCCAUUUUCGUUAUUACACACAGCACUGCAGUGAAAAUUCUUGUAUCGAUGUGUGGGUGUUUUUUCCUUUUGAGACAGGGUAUUGCUCUGCCACCCAGGCUGGAGUGCAUUGGCACAAUCAC